ACUCUUUCUUGGGGACCAAACAAUACCACGUAGACGUAGUAUAUAUAUUUUUGAAAACAAAAAAAAUUAAAAAUUAAAAAAAAAAAGAAAUACAACCAUAUAUCUAAAACCCUAACUCAAGUCAAAACCCAUCCAACAGAGUAAAAAAAAAAAAGCAAUGGAUCAAAGCGGUGUUUCUCAAAGCAAAAGUCAGAGCGAGCCCGUGUGUGGUAAGGAGGCUCUUGAUCUACUCAACUGCGUUACCCAAUCGCCUUACGAUCAAGACAAAUGCCUCCGCCUCUUACAGUCCUUGCGAGACUGCGUGCUCAACAAGAAAGUCAAGAAGUUCUCACUAACUGAUCAAGAAAAGCAAGAAGCAAACACAACGGGCAAGAAAGCUUGAUUGAAUUUUGUCUGAAGUCUGUUUUGUAUCACUGAUGACAAACUUGAUAGCUAGCACAAAAUUGUUUUCACUUCGACCCAAUCCAUAAAGAAUGCUGCUUUGAAAACAUUUUGAUAUUAACAAAAGUAUUAUUCACUUUGUUGUGGGAA